GAUGAACGCUGGCGGCGUGCCUAACACAUGCAAGUCGAACGGAAAGACGCGGCGCUUGUUGGUUUGUCGUUAGCGGAGCGGGGGAGUGACACAUGUGUAUAACACCCCUGUAUGUGUGGGAACAUCUCGAGAAAACGGCGAAUAUACCGGAUGAUCUACUGAAGCGCAGGGUGGGUUAGUGAAAGUCGGCUUUGCUGUCACUUCUCGCUGCUUCCCAGCUGCAUUAGCUGGUUGGUAGGGUAACGGCUUAUCAAGGCGAGGAUGCGUAACCGACCUGAGAGGGUGAUCGGCCACACUGGAACUGAGACACGGUCCAGACUCCUACGGGAGGCAGCAGUAGGGAAUCUUCCGCAAUGGGCGAAAGCCUGACGGAGCAAGGCCGCGUGUGUGAUGAAGGCCUUCGGAUCGUAAAGCCCUGUUAUUGGGGAAGAACAGAUUUGUACUUAGACGUAGACUUAUUGACGGUACCGGAUCAAGAAGCACCGGCUAACUACGUG
rnacentral:rRNA from 1 species